AAUCCCUAGAUCUAUCCUCCUGUUGCUCCCCACGCACGCCGGCGCCCACGCCUCCGACCGCCGCCCCGCCUCGCCCCGCCCCGCCCCGCCCCGCCCGGGGCUACUGCCAGUCUAUCCCACAGCUGCCCCACGCCGCCCUUCCUCUGUAGCACCGCCCCGCGCCGCCCUGUCCCUACAGCGCAACCCAACUCCGUCCUGCCUCUCUCCGCCGCCGGCUCCACACCCUCGUGCUCUCUCUCUGGUUGGCCGCCUCUUUCCAACAUCCCUGACCUGACCUCCCCAUCUCCACCGUCUAGCUCACGAAGACACACACAUCGGCAGAUUUGCAUGGGGGCAGCUUGCGCCUGGGCAAGGGCAUCCCUCUCUGUCUUCGGCUAGGCAGGGGCAACGAAGCGGCUGAGUGAAUCUUCUUUGCAGCACCAAUGGAUGCGUUUCUAGUGUUUGUGCUUCUCUAGCUAAGCACAUUUCUGGGCUGAGUUCACGACAAUGUUAAACAAAGGACAAAUGUGUGUAACAUUGAGGCGAUGAAGAGAAGUAGCAGAAUAUUUGCGACACCACCUUAGUGCAUAAGGAGGAAAAAAGGCAAGCGCAAGAGUCACAAACAAUAUAUAGCCUCCUAGAUUUUCUCGUGAGGUUGUUGUCAAUGUUGUGAUCACAAGGGAUGCAACGCUGCCUUAUGAAUAUGAUGGUUUACAAUUUGUCGCCGAUGCUGUCACAAGGUCCAUUGCAUGACCAUCUAGCAAGAUGAAACCCUACAAGCCAGGGGCAUCUGCCUCCGUGUUAAUCUUGCGUGAGAUCUCUGAUGGUGGUGGAAAGACAACAUUUGUUAAUUUCAUUAUCGAUAAGAAAACGUUGUGCACGGAAGACAAGAGGAACAAGAAGAAACCAUGAAGCUGUCAGUUUGCUCAACUAGAUAUCUUUUGUAAUGGAGCAAAACCAAUGCAUCUUGUAGCUACCAUUUUGUAAAGGAUAUCUUGUAACGUAGAAAGCAUUGAAUCGUCGGACAUGCAUCUAUCAUUUUAUAAACCUAUCGGGUGUUUCGGUCACACAGACAAAUGUUUCCUCUUAUUUUGUUACCUCUAUUAUGAGAAUUAUAAGUGUUAUUUUUGUUUGGUCCUAGUUUAAUAUUUGAGAGUACAUGCAAGUUAUUGUAACUUGAUAGAUAAUGAUGAGAUAUGUCACCUGAUUGAUAUUGUUUUGA